rnacentral:rRNA from 1 species
UACAGAGGUGGCAAGCGUUGUUCGGAAUUACUGGGCGUAAAGGGCGCGUAGGCGGCCAUCUAAGUCAGACGUGAAAUCCCCAGGCUUAACCUGGGAACUGCGUCGGAUACUGGAUGGCUUGAAUUCGGGAGAGGGAUGCAGAAUUCCAGGUGUAGCGGUGAAAUGCGUAGAUAUCGGGAAGAACACCCGUGGCGAAGGCGGCUCUCUGGAACGCAACUGACGCUGAGACGCGAAAGCGUGGGGAGCAAACAGG